rnacentral:rRNA from 1 species
AUUGAACGCUGGCGGCAUGCCUUACACAAGCAAGUCGAACGCGAAAGGGGGGCAACCCCUGAGUAGAGUGGCGCACGGGUGAGUAAUGCAUCGGAACGUGUCCUGUAGCGGGGGAUAACCUAGCGAAAGCUAGGCUAAUACCGCAUACGCCCUAAGGGGGAAAGUGGGGGAUCGUAAGACCUCACACUAUAGGAGCGGCCGAUGCCGGAUUAGCUAGUUGGUGGGGUAAAAGCUCACCAAGGCGACGAUCCGUAGCUGGUCUGAGAGGAUGAUCAGCCACACUGGGACUGAGACACGGCCCAGACUCCUACGGGAGGCAGCAGUGGGGAAUUUUGGACAAUGGGGGAAACCCUGAUCCAGCCAUGCCGCGUGAGUGAAGAAGGCCUUCGGGUUGUAGAGCUCUUUCGGCCGGGACGAAAUCGCACGCGUGAAUAUCGUGUGCGGAUGACGGUACCGGCAGAAGAAGGACCGGCCAACUACGUGCCAGCCGCCGCGGUAA